rnacentral:rRNA from 1 species
UACGGGGGGAGCAAGCGUUGUUCGGAUUUACUGGGCGUAAAGGGCGCGUAGGCGGCCACCGCAAGUCGACUGUGAAAUCUCCGGGCUUAACCCGGAAAGGUCAGCCGAUACUGCGGGGCUAGAGUGCAGAAGGGGCAACUGGAAUUCUCGGUGUAGCGGUGAAAUGCGUGGAUAUCGAGAGGAACACCUGCGGCGAAGGCGGGUUGCUGGGCUGACACUGACGCUGAUGUGCGAAAGCUAGGGGAGCAAACAGG